ACACGGACCAAGGAGUGCAACAUGUGCGCGAGCCGCUUGGCAAGAAAACCAGAAGGCGCAAUGAAAGUGAAGGCACGGUCGCCGUGCUGAGGUGAGAGCUGUCACCCGGCAGCGCAUCAUCGACCGAUCCCAUCCGCUCCCUCGUGGUGCGGCGGGAUUCGAGUAAGAGUGCAUCUGUUGCGACCCGAAAGAUGGUGAACUAUGCCUGAAUAGGGUGAAGCCAGAGGAAACUCUGGUGGAGGCCCGUAGCGAUUCUGACGUGCAAAUCGAUCGUCAAAUUUGGGUAUAGGGGCGAAAGACUAAUCGAACCAUCUAGUAGCUGGUUCCCUCCGAAGUUUCCCUCAGGAUAGCUGUAGCCCGAAGCAGUUUUAUCAGGUAAAGCGAAUGAUUAGAGGUAUCGGGGAAGAAACUUCCUCGACCUAUUCUCAAACUUUAAAUAGGUAAGAAGUCCGACUUGCUCAAUUUGAAGCCGGACACAGAAUGCUGGGUUACUAGUGGGCCAUUUUUGGUAAGCAGAACUGGCGAUGCGGGAUGAACCGAACGCCGAGUUAAGGUGCCAAAGUCGACGCUCAUCAGAUCCCACAAAAGGUGUUGGUUGAUAUAGACAGCAGGACGGUGGCCAUGGAAGUCGGAAUCCGCUAAGGAGUGUGUAACAACU
rnacentral:rRNA from 1 species